GUUUUUACGGUUUCUGCAAUGGCAAAGUGAUAUACACACCCUUGAGUUCUCAGCUCCUGAUUUCUCUCCUUGAUAAUCAUGUACGUACUUGGGAAUUGGUACCGGAAUUCCAGAGGGAGGCAAACUCUGAUAAGCGACUUCACUCGUAUUCAGCGUCUUUCAAGUCAUUGUUGAAGGAACCAAAGCACCGAGCUUGUAGUAGCUGCGUUAACUUAUCUGCAAAAGUUAUUCAAAUUGGGGAUGAGGAGGAAUUUGGAUUUAACAGGGAAAGUGUUCACGGACUUCAGAUGUAGAAAAAUAUGUGACGUGUUGACUCAUAAUUUUUUUUUAAUGAUAUUAUUUACAACUGACUGAUUCACUUAAUAUACCCUAACUUCUUUCGAGUACAGGUGCAAUAUUAUAAAUGUGUUCGGAAUAUUUGAUCUGUUAGCCUAAGGGUUACCGUACGUCUUUUCUGAACUUUUGAUUUUUUAAUUUAUUCUUAUCCAAAGAAAAUAAAAAUCCUUAGACUCAAGGAGUUUUGGGGUGAUUAGUCAGACGUUGUGGUGAUGGAUUAAUGAUUGUAAUCAUGGAAAAUGAUACGUUAUUCAAAUGCAAUUAGUACAGGUAGACUGGAGUUAGACGCGGGGUAUACUGUAGUUAAAAGCCGUGUUCAGACCAGUCACUGCAAACAAUGCAAAUACAUAGAAAAAAUAGAUUAGUGACUUGUCCCAUAAGCGUCAAACGUAACAAGUUUUCAAUUGCAAGCAUGCUUAAUAUGACGCUUAAAUAUUAAAUCACUGUCGUAAAUAUUAAUGAACUAGAUUACGAACAACUCCUCAAAAUUCAACAAAAGAUGAAAAUAUUUGGUCAUUG